GAUAGUACCUUACUAUAAGUGUUGUCCAACAUUACUGGUGCCAGAAGACUCGGUAACGCCAGAAACGCAAACGUUAGUCGUCUUAAUCAGGCGUAAAGGGUAAGUAGGCUGCUUUAACAGUUAUGGAUUAGAAAGCUCUUUAAAUUACAGGCUCUGCCUGUAAAGUAAUUAAUAAUGAAUUAAAGCUAGAAUCAAAUAGAGGAUAAGACAAAUAACGCUAAGAGUAAGGCUGAUAUCUCUAGAUACUUAGCGGAAUACUAAAGGUGAAAACUUUUAUCUACUAUUGAUUGACGCUGAGGAACGAAGGUGAGAAUAGAAAACAGGAUUAGAGACCCAGGUAUCUCUCACUGUCAACGAUGAAUGGUGGUUGUUAGUUUUUAACUUAAACUAGUAACGAUGUUAACGCGAUAACCAUUCCGCCUUGCGA
rnacentral:rRNA from 1 species